GUGUUUCUUACUGCUUGUGAGGAAGCUGCUACUGUUAAUGAAAGAGCUGCUAUGCAAAUGCUAGUCUGCAGUGUCUCUCCAGUGCAGAGUCUUUCUGCACACAGCUCUCGAGCCAACUGAGUGGAGCCUGGACGUCUGAACCACCAGCAAACUUGAUCAGGCAUUUCACUGAGUUGUGGACGCUGAGGGAGAGCUCUGACCAGAGCACGAACGCUUUGCUGCUGAGGAAGUUCAUCAAAGCAGCUGCUGUCACCAACCCAGACUUCAGAGCAGACGUUCAGAAUGUAGGAAACCCUUAAAAACGCACAUGCACAGACAAUUCUUAGUGUAUUAGUAUAUCUGGUGAUGCUCGCAUGAUGCGACAAUG